rnacentral:rRNA from 1 species
AUACGAAGGGAGCUAGCGUUGUUCGGAAUUACUGGGCGUAAAGCGCACGUAGGCGGCCUGUUAAGUCGGAUGUGAAAGCCCCGGGCUCAACCUGGGAACUGCAUUCGAUACUGGCAAACUAGAGUAUAGUAGAGGCAAGUGGAAUUCCGGGUGUAGCGGUGAAAUGCGUAGAUAUCCGGAGGAACAUCAGUGGCGAAGGCGACUUGCUGGACUAAUACUGACGCUGAGGAGCGAAAGCGUGGGGAGCAAACGGGAUUAGAAACCCCGGUAGUCC